UACAGAGGUCUCAAGCGUUGUUCGGAUUCAUUGGGCGUAAAGGGUGCGUAGGCGGCGCGGUAAGUCGGGUGUGAAAUCUUGGAGCUUAACUCCGAAACUGCAUUCGAUACUGCCGGGCUGGAGGCAGGUAGGGGAGAAUGGAAUUCCCGGUGUAGCGGUGAAAUGCGCAGAUAUCGGGAGGAACACCGGCGGCGAAGGCGGUUCUCUGGGCCUGACCUGACGCUGAGGAGCGAAAGCUAGGGGAGCAAACGGG
rnacentral:rRNA from 1 species